rnacentral:rRNA from 1 species
UACGUAGGGUGCAAGCGUUAAUCGGAAUUACUGGGCGUAAAGCGUGCGCAGGCGGUUCGUUGUGUCGGCGGUGAAAGCCCCGGGCUUAACCUGGGAAUGGCCGUUGAAACUGGCGAACUGGAGUGUGGCAGAGGGGGUGAAAUUCCGCGUGUAGCAGUGAAAUGCGUAGAGAUGCGGAGGAACACCGAUGGCGAAGGCAGCCCCCUGGGCUAACACUGACGCUCAGGCACGAAAGCGUGGGGAGCAAACAGG